GUGAGUAGUUCAGAGUUGAUCCUGGCUCAGGAUGAACGCUGGCGGCGUGCUUAACACAUGCAAGUCGAACGAAGAAAACUUGGAUUGAGAGCUUCGGCAGGAUUUCAUUUUUUCUUAGUGGCGGACGGGUGAGUAACGUGUGGGCAACCUGCCCUGUACUGUGGAAUAAUCACUGGAAACGGUGACUAAUACCGCAUGUCAUCACUGGAAGGCAUCUUCCGGUGAAAAAAGGAGCAAUUCGGUACAGGAUGGGCCCGCAUCUGAUUAGCUAGUUGGUGAGAUAACAGCCCACCAAGGCGACGAUCAGUAGCCGACCUGAGAGGGUGAUCGGCCACAUUGGGACUGAGACACGGCCCAA
rnacentral:rRNA from 1 species